rnacentral:rRNA from 1 species
GUCGAGCGAACGGACGAGAAGCUUGCUUCUCUGAUGUUAGCGGCGGACGGGUGAGUAACACGUGGAUAACCUACCUAUAAGACUGGGAUAACUUCGGGAAACCGGAGCUAAUACCGGAUAAUAUUUUGAACCGCAUGGUUCAAAAGUGAAAGACGGUCUUGCUGUCACUUAUAGAUGGAUCCGCGCUGCAUUAGCUAGUUGGUAAGGUAACGGCUUACCAAGGCAACGAUGCAUAGCCGACCUGAGAGGGUGAUCGGCCACACUGGAACUGAGACACGGUCCAGACUCCUACGGGAGGCAGCAGUAGGGAAUCUUCCGCAAUGGGCGAAAGCCUGACGGAGCAACGCCGCGUGAGUGAUGAAGGUCUUCGGAUCGUAAAACUCUGUUAUUAGGGAAGAACAUAUGUGUAAGUAACUGUGCACAUCUUGACGGUACCUAAUCAGAAAGCCACGGCUAACUACGUGCCAGCAGCCGCGGUAAUACGUAGGUGGCAAGCGUUAUCCGGAAUUAUUGGGCGUAAAGCGCGCGUAGGCGGUUUUUUAAGUCUGAUGUGAAAGCCCACGGCUCAACCGUGGAGGGUCAUUGGAAACUGGAAAACUUGAGUGCAGAAGAGGAAAGUGGAAUUCCAUGUGUAGCGGUGAAAUGCGCAGAGAUAUGGAGGAACACCAGUGGCGAAGGCGACUUUCUGGUCUGUAACUGACGCUGAUGUGCGAAAGCGUGGGGAUCAAACAGGAUUAGAUACCCUGGUAGUCCACGCCGUAAACGAUGAGUGCUAAGUGUUAGGGGGUUUCCGCCCCUUAGUGCUGCAGCUAACGCAUUAAGCACUCCGCCUGGGGAGUACGACCGCAAGGUUGAAACUCAAAGGAAUUGACGGGGACCCGCACAAGCGGUGGAGCAUGUGGUUUAAUUCGAAGCAACGCGAAGAACCUUACCAAAUCUUGACAUCCUUUGACAACUCUAGAGAUAGAGCUUUCCCCUUCGGGGGACAAAGUGACAGGUGGUGCAUGGUUGUCGUCAGCUCGUGUCGUGAGAUGUUGGGUUAAGUCCCGCAACGAGCGCAACCCUUAAGCUUAGUUGCCAUCAUUAAGUUGGGCACUCUAAGUUGACUGCCGGUGACAAACCGGAGGAAGGUGGGGAUGACGUCAAAUCAUCAUGCCCCUUAUGAUUUGGGCUACACACGUGCUACAAUGGACAAUACAAAGGGCAGCGAAACCGCGAGGUCAAGCAAAUCCCAUAAAGUUGUUCUCAGUUCGGAUUGUAGUCUGCAACUCGACUACAUGAAGCUGGAAUCGCUAGUAAUCGUAGAUCAGCAUGCUACGGUGAAUACGUUCCCGGGUCUUGUACACACCGCCCGUCACACCACGAGAGUUUGUAACACCCGAAGCCGGUGGAGUAACC